rnacentral:lncRNA from 1 species
AAAUAUUUUCAGUAAAUCCAAAUGGCUUUCAAAAAUGUUCAUCAUUUAUGGAAAAUGCUGUAAAUAGUAACCAGAGGUGAUGCACAGUUUUCCAUGACAUAUUUGGGCUCUGAAUUAAAUCAUACUCUAUUUGCAUUUGGGCAUUUAAAUGCUAUAAAAUAUUUUAAAUGCUCAAAUAAUCAUAAACUAAAAACUGUACUGUUGUAUAUAUUCUAAACAGUAGCCAUGAUUAGUUUCAUGAUUUUUGGAAAUGCCCUGGCAUUUUUAAUAAAGUCCUAAAGUAACAGCAAAAUAGAAAAUAGAAGAAAAAUAAAAAAGGAAGGAAACCUACCUAACUUACCUAUGCAGCCCACCUGGCCCAAGUCCUGCUAGCCCAGCACUACUGCUCCGGAACACUUGACUGGCCGGCAUGUGAUUCACUUCGUUCCUGUGUCUGUCCCUUCGGGGAAAUGUCACGCGGUGACAUCCGGAGUCCUGCCUAGCCUGCUACAGCCCAGUCCACCGGAGUCCUGUUAGCCCAGUGCUACAGCCCGGAUUCGCACGCUGCUGACCGACAUGCUCGAUGUUGAUUCAUGUAUGCCUGUCCCCGUAAGUUGGUGCCACUUUGGGUUCACGAUUAGUCAUGUCGGCCCGGGUUCUCUGUCAUAUGGAUGCUAGCGACACUAUCAUAUACGUGAGCCAAAAGGCGCAAACGGUCCCGGGCCAUGGUAAGGCGACACCCGUGGGAAUACCGUGCAUGGGGCCGCAAAGUGAUAUGAGGAGUUACCGGCUAGAUCGAUGUGACUUGGAAUCGGGGUCCUGACAGCAUUGGUAUCAGAGCCUGACUGCCUGUAGGAUUACCAAGCCAAACUGGUCGAAGUUGUGUCUAGAAAUGCUUUAGUUAUGUAUGGGAAUUGAUUGGAGAAGGGAACGUAAGGCUCUUUUUACUCCUUAUAUCUCAUGUCCUCUGAUCCGAGUCAUCUUAUCUUUCCUACAGGGAUUUAGAACUAGUCCUUCUCAUCUAUAUAUCAGGAUGACGUGUUACUAAUCCAUAGACUUAUAAGAUUGUUGGAUUUAUGCCCCAGUUCAGUUUCUGCUACUUCCGUGUGUUCAUAGUUGGUCUCGGAACUUUGAUAUUGUGCUUCUGAGUGGUUAUGCCACCAUUUUUGCAGGAUGUCUCAAAUCUUUUUGAGCAUUUACAGUCAUUAUGCUGUCCGAGUCAUCCCAGGUUUCCAAACAAUCUGAUGCAUUUGCAAAAUCCUUUCCCUCUGUUUCCGCGUCCCUUUGGGCUAGAUUAAGCACACUAAUGGCCUGUUGAGGUAUUCUAUUGCCUCGACAUAUAUGUUGGAGUUAUUAUUACGACCCUAGGUGUCUUAGAAGAUUACCUAGUAAACUAGCCAUAUUUUGUGUUCCCGGUGUGAUGAUUCUGGCCACCAUUCUCAAAAGCAUCCCGUGAUGCCAUUUAGUAGUAGGUAUUCUACUCCUGGGUUCUUGACCCAAGAUCCACUCUACUUACCUCGUGUUGAUAGUGUUGCUCGUACCUUUAGGAUAUUAGUAACCUUUGAGAUAGUCUUCGAGGUCCAUGGUAUAUCAUUCUUCCAAAUACCAUGACCCAUUCUUGGCAAGAGUUCUUUUGAACCAAAAGAUCACAACCAGAGUGCUCGUGAUGAGUUCUCUAUUCUAUAUUGUGAAUCUGCCAGUUCUACCCUUUCCGCAUGGGUUAUCUGGAAGAAAUGUUGAGAUUCGCUCGGCAUACUAAUCUAUGCAUCCACAACUCAGAAAAACAUAUGUUCCUUUGAGUUGUCCCUCUUUAGUUGUAUCCUGACCUCCGUCUAUCAAGCGAUAGUCAGGAAUAGUUGUGCGAUCGUGUUCGUCAGUGUCUAUUAUACUUGUGGUCCGUCAAGCCGUUCUAUUUCAGAAUGACUAGGUGAAACAAACUCCAGUACCUCAUCCAUAUCUAGCAUUGGGUCAAAGCAGUUGUAUUCCGCAGAUCAAAAUGCCAAUCCAGCUUUUGAUUCUGUUCCACCUGAAGUAUUGCCCUCUUGAUGUCAGGAAUGUCAUGAGAAUUACACCACCUCUUAUGAAUUCCUGAUUUAGUGAUACUUCUUGCCAUCAUUUUCAUUUUUCGGUUCCGUGGUGUCACAACUGGAAUGCCGACAAGUGAACCAUGAUGUGUGAAAUCAAUACUCCUAGCAACCAUGUUGCUUGGUAGUUAAUGGACAUUAAUAGCAUUCUUAGCAUGUUCGUUAUCGAAUCACUAUUCUAGGAUUGAUCGUGCUACCUUGUCCUUAUUUCUGGUGCACUCCUCGAUCUUUGAGUUAGGAUUGAAUACCUUGCUUUCCUGAUCAUGUCGUCUUGCCUUGAAAAGCAAGGUUGUUCUCGAGCUUAGUAACAUAUCAGUGGUUCGUGAUGUUCCGAAUAUCUUCUCGGAAGCAUUAGCAGGUUGUCACCUGACCGCUAUGUUGAGCUCGUGAUUAAGUUGGUUUCUUGUAAACCACCCCUUCUCCAAGAAUCCGUGUUGGAUACCCCUGAGCUAGUUGGUUAAGCCAAACAACAACUUGGAGAGUUGGAAGAUAAAGUUUGUCCGACUUAGUUCAUCUUAAGGGAUAUCUUGUGUGUGUGUUCAAGAAAGAUGAUAUCUCCAUCGAUUGGUCCUCGAGAUUAGUUGUUGGAUCUAUUGCCUUGUCAAACUUUGACUUGAGUAUGGGCUAUCAUCAAGUCAAAUCAGAACAAACGAUGUUCGUAAUGUUGUCUUACUCGUGGUUGAUCCCUCGAGCAUACACCAUUACAUCUUUUGGUACGACCAAUGCUAUCACCGUGUUCACAUGAUGGUGGAAGUCCAGUGAUAUGGAAAUUCCGAUGAGUUGCUGUUGAGCCCAUCAGCAGCAUUUUGUCUCCCCCAUGAUUCAUGUUGAACAUCAACCUCGUGUUGGAAACUUUGUAAGAAAUGCCUUCGUGUUCCGUUCAUGAAGCUUAUGCUUGGAUGGAAGAAGUGACUUCCUCGAAUUCAUGUGCAUUUGGUGCAAGUUGCCGCCGUGAGUUCGAGAAAGAUUGUAUUUGUUUCCUCUGGUACCAUCCCAAGUCAGUUAUGCAUGUGCAAAUGUAUUCUAUGGUUUGGUAGAUUAAUUACCUCCACUCCAUAUGUGUUCCUAGCACACCAAGCCACUAAUUGACUUGUUCAAGGAGAAGAAGUUCCUUCUUAAGAGCAUGCCUUAUGCAAGGACUUCGAUAUCCUCGUUGAUGGUCCCCAACCAGAACUCGGUAGUGUUUUCUUGUAAGACUAUUAUGUGGUCAUGCUUGUCUUGGACAGCAUGUCCGCAUGUAUGUAGCAGAACCAACUCAUGUUUUGGAGCUUGCUAUCGUAGUUCAUUUCCCGAGAAUCUCGCAACGUCAUCUCGUCGGUUUGUGUUGCAAACUUUCUUUUCGAGACAUGUUGUCUCAAUUAUUCUGUUACCAACCAGAUUUGAAUCUCAGGCAGAUAUGAUGGUUGGAACUUCUUCCGAGAACUAUGAUAUAGGUUCCUGUGAAGUGGACGCACCUAGCUAGAAGCACUAUUGUUGUAGUAUCUUGAUUAAGCCGUUUGGUCACCUCCCAUGAGGAUUUCGCAUGACUUAUUCUAGAAGUUGUUCCUUAUGGAUCAUGUGCUCCCCAAGUCCGACCUUUACUUGAUGGCCAUGUUGAUGCUUCUUAAGCAUGGCCGUGGUAGCUAGAACAUCAAGGAGAACAUUAGAAGUGGAGUGCUAAAUGUCUCUCGGUCGAUCAUCCAGAUUUUGUUUUCUUGGCCUCGCUAAGGUGAAAUCUGAAAAGUUGUUAUCUCCCUUUGCAUCCGCACCCUCCAUCACUAUUCGUCAUGGUAGUAUGUUGUGUUGCCACAAUCCUUGACAGGGAUGUUGGUAAGACCUUGAUGAGUAUGGAAAUGCUCAAGUUCUUGAGAGCACGCUCGGACACUAGGUUAUAUCCUCGGUAUCAACUGGAAUGUGCCUUCCGUUUGCUGAGUUGUCUUAUAACUCUAGUUCUCUUUCCAACUGAGUAUGCCAUUUCUCCGAACUCCUUCAAACGAUCGUUUGUGAUUUUCCUUAGGCUGGUUUAGAGAUUUUCAAUGAUCUAUGUAUCAAAAGUAAUUCUUCUUGCCACUUAAGGGAAUAAUUCUACGGGUCACCUCCUCUAAGAUGUCUCGUUAUGGUAUCCUGGCAACUCAACUCCUCGGUACGUUGACAACUGUUCACCACCUUCUUAAGUGUGGAAUUGUUGCCUACCUAGUGAAUCUUCGUCAUCUGUUUCACUCCAUCCCUCAGGAUGUAUGCUUCGUGUCUCAGCUCGAGAGAUGUUUUCAAUGUCCCACUCCAUGAGUUGAUCCUGAGUUGUUCGAUCUUCAAGAAGAUCGAUUCUUCUAGAGUUUUCUUUUUCUCUCGUUGUCGUGUUGGUUGAAGUUUCCGAAGCAAGACGUUGAGACAAAGAUGGUGACGAAUCAACGUUCUUACGAAGUGCAACCUGGAUCAUGAAGAUUGUGUUAGUUGUGUUCCCCCUUCAUCUUACCCUAUGCUUGAAUCUCGGGACGAGAUUCUUGUUUAGUGGGGGUGAGUUGUCACAUCCCUAGCUUCUGGUAAUGCACUAGGCUAGCCUCAUGUGUGCAUCAUGUUUAAUCUUGAAAUAAACUUGAAAUGGGGAUUGCCUAAACCCCUAGCAUCAAAGGAAUUCACUAGGUUCACCUAAAAUAUAUUCAGUAAAUCCAAAUGGCUUUCAAAAAUGUUCAUCAUUUAUGGAAAAUGUUGUAAACAGUAACCAGAGGUGAUGCACAUUUUUCCAUGACAUAUUUGGGCUCUGAAUUAAAUCAUACUCUAUUUGCAUUUGGGCAUUUAAAUGCUAUAAAAUAUUUUAAAUGAUCAAAUAAUCAUAAACUAUAAUGUUUACUAUUGUAUAUAUUCUAAACAGUAGCCAUGAUUAGUUUCAUGAUUUUUGGAAAUGCCCUGGCAUUUUUAAUAAAGUCCUAAAGUAACAGCAAAAUAGAAAACAGAAGAAAAAU